GGGUAAAUGUUGCAAACUUAGCUGAUAUGGAGCAAAGUCGUAUGCUUGCUAAUACAUUAGCUCAGAACAACGAUCCUAAAUUUCAUGUUUGUAAGCUAUGGUGUGCUGCAACUCUAUGAUGCUCUUGUUUUCAACAUGAAGAUAUUCUUCUUUAUUGCAUGGGAAGAAAAGUAAAGCACGAGGUCCCUGAAGAUUGGGUCUGUGAAUCAUGCCAAAGUGUCAGUGACUCGGUUUUGAUGGAAUCUGGGAAGAGAGAUGAAGUUGUCACAAUAGCAAUGAGCAAGGGGCAAUUUUCAAUUUCAUAGCUUCAUUCCAAGAAGAAAAAGCCAGUAGAAACUGGUAAAGUUAAGUUCAUUCCUCAUGAAGAAAUACUUGAAAGAAAUCCUUAAUAAUAAUAAAAAAUUGUGAUGCUGUGAAAUCAUUCUUGCUUGAAAAGAAAAAUGCUCAGGCAUUUUUUUUUGGUGUAGCACGCCUUGCUUUAAGGAAUACUCAAUGCUUCUUUGUGACUGGCACUUGUGGUUGUAGUUUUGAUAGUUUUUCAUGAGGGCCUCUUUGCUAUCUUUGUUGGUCUCUGUUUGUAGUUUUAUGUCUUAUAUGUACUAUCUUAGUCUGAGGCUGUCUAGACUGUAAUACAGUACAGGUGAUUUCAUAUCAUCUUUUUUUAAUACAAUCUUGUUUGGUUGGGAUUGAAA